rnacentral:rRNA from 1 species
AACGAACGCUGGCGGCAUGCCUAACACAUGCAAGUCGAACGAAGGCUUCGGCCUUAGUGGCGCACGGGUGCGUAACGCGCGGGGAUCUGCCCUUUGCUUCGGAAUAACAGUUAGAAAUGACUGCUAAUACCGGAUGAUGUCGCAAGACCAAAGAUUUAUCGGCAAAGGAUGAACCCGCGUAGGAUUAGCUAGUUGGUGGGGUAAAGGCCUACCAAGGCGACGAUCCUUAGCUGGUCUGAGAGGAUGAUCAGCCACACUGGGACUGAGACACGGCCCAGACUCCUACGGGAGGCAGCAGUGGGGAAUAUUGGACAAUGGGCGAAAGCCUGAUCCAGCAAUGCCGCGUGAGUGAUGAAGGCCUUCGGGUUGUAAAGCUCUUUUACCAGGGAUGAUAAUGACAGUACCUGGAGAAUAAGCUCCGGCUAACUCCGUGCCAGCCGCCGCCGUAAUAC